GAGCAGUUGCCAGUGUCUGCACUUGGCUUGGGUCUAAAUUAGGAGGCACGUUCUGCCAGCGCCGAAGACCUCGGCUCUCCCGGAAGCGCAGACUUAAUUCCUGAAGCACACCUGCUACAGCACUCAAGGGAAAUUGCUGUUAUCAACAGUCUCCAAUCUGUCCUGAGUUCCCACACAGAGGUGGGAACAGAGGAAAAAGGAAAACACACUAGAUAAAGCAGGUUCAACACAAGCUGAGCCAACGGGUAAGGUUAUAAAAAUUCAUUCUAUCUUCUGAAUGUCCACUAUGUAUGUGUCAGAAACUAUGCAAGGAACUGUGGUGGACAUGCUCUGCUAGCCAAAGAAAUGUAAAGUCUUAUGACAGAAUUCCUACAUAAUUAUCUUA